rnacentral:ncRNA from 2 species
GGUCUUGAGUUCCAGCACACAGCCCCGGCUUGCUGGGCGGCAACCCUCCACUCGCGGUGGGGUGCCCCGGGUGAUGACCUGGCUGUUCGUUGCACCUGACGAAUAGCAAGCGCGGGCC